rnacentral:rRNA from 1 species
UACGAGAGGCCCAAACGUUAUUCGGAAUUACUGGGCGUAAAGCGCACGUAGGCGGCUUCUUAAGUCGGUGGUGAAAUCCUGGAGCUCAACUCCAGAACUGCCUUCGAUACUGGGAAGCUCGAGUCCGGGAGAGGUGAGUGGAACUGCGAGUGUAGAGGUGAAAUUCGUAGAUAUUCGCAAGAACACCAGUGGCGAAGGCGGCUCACUGGCCCGGUACUGACGCUGAGGUGCGAAAGCGUGGGGAGCAAACAGG